rnacentral:rRNA from 1 species
UACGGAGGGGGCUAGCGUUGUUCGGAAUUACUGGGCGUAAAGCGCACGUAGGCGGCUUUGUAAGUUAGAGGUGAAAGCCCAGGGCUCAACCCUGGAAUUGCCUUUAAGACUGCAUCGCUUGAAUCAUGGAGAGGUGAGUGGAAUUCCGAGUGUAGAGGUGAAAUUCGUAGAUAUCAGGAGGAACACCAGUGGCGAAGGCG